rnacentral:rRNA from 1 species
UACGUAGGGUGCAAGCGUUGUCCGGAAUUAUUGGGCGUAAAGAGCUCGUAGGCGGUUUGUCGCGUCGGGAGUGAAAUCCACUGGCUUAACUGGUGGCUUGCUUUCGAUACGGGCAGACUGGAGGUAUGCAGGGGAGAACGGAAUUCCUGGUGUAGCGGUGAAAUGCGUAGAUAUCAGGAGGAACACCGGUGGUGUAGACGGCUCUCUGGACCGUAACUGACGCUGAGACACGAAAGCGUGGGUAGCAAACAGG